rnacentral:rRNA from 1 species
UACGGGGGGGGCAAGCGGUGUUCGGAAUUACUGGGCGUAAAGGGCUCGUAGGUGGCCAACUAAGUCGGACGUGAAAUCCCUCAGCUUAACUGGGGAACUGCGUCUGAUACUGGAUGGCUUGAGUUUGGGAGAGGGAUGCGGAAUUCCAGGUGUAGCGGUGAAAUGCGUAGAUAUCUGGAGGAACACCGGUGGCGAAGGCGGCAUCCUGGACCAACACUGACACUGAGGAGCGAAAGCCAGGGGAGCAAACGGG